rnacentral:piRNA from 1 species
UGAGAUGGAUGGAAGGCACUAUUCUUCAU